rnacentral:lncRNA from 1 species
CAAAUAGGAAAAAUGGAGAAGCCCAUGGAGAGGGCUCAAAGGUCAUAAAGAAAUGAAAAAGACCCAAUGGUAAGUUAAUGUUAUAUUUUAAAGUUUAUGAGUAGUUUAAUAUUGUGCAUAUUUUGGAUGAAAAAUAUGCAAGUUGCUUAAGGAAUUUUUAAUUGAGUUGCUACUCAUACAAAUGUGUGAUUAAGUAUACUGAGUUUAAAUUGUUGCUAGGAAAGUUUGUCGUGGAGGCGUGCCGAACGAAGUAUGUGACCGACAAAUAGGAAUAAUUAUAUACGCGUACGAAUUAAUAGUGAAGUAAUAUCCCACUAUUAUGAGGUGAGUAGGGGGUGUCAAUUUUAAAAAUUUUAUAUAUAUAUACAUGUACGUAUAUUUUACGUGAAGUGCAAAAUUUAUGGCAAGCAUGCGUUGAUAGAAUUUUAAGGAGUUGUGGAUGUAAGUUAUUUUCAAAAAUUAUUUGAAAUAUAUAUAUAUUAGACGUAAAGUGUUUUAAACCGGGAAACAAGCUUUUCUAAAAGAUUUACAUCAAAGGAAAUUGUGCCUUAUUGUUUGUGUGGUGUGCAUUCAUGAAAUUUAUUACAUAUUCACCAUGCUAUUUUGAUACAAAAUAUCAUGCAAAUAUUUACAAUGAACAUUUUACAAAAAUAGAGUUUUAACGUGAUGUGGGGACCGAUAUUUUGAGAAAGAUUUAAAAUAUCCUCUUGAAGAGCAAAUUUGAAUUCUUUUAAAAGGUGAUUUCAUUUUAACCAAGAAAUUUAAGAGUAAUUGAACACUGUUACUUGUUGUGCUAUAAAUUGUAUUUUGAAUUGAUUAGCUUAUGAUAAAUCAGGCAUGAUUGGUUGGUUGGCAAUUGUUUUGAAAUAUGGAUUAUUUGUUUACCUUGAAAGGUUGUGAAUAAAAUAAUUACCAUGUCAUGCUAUUGCAAAUUUUAUUGAAUUGGUGGAUUAUAUAUUAAUUAAUCACUGCAGUAGGGGGUUUCUGUGGACCAGCCUUUUAGAGGGGCACGGUAAACCCCAUUUUAUUCUUACCUCGAACGGAGAGGCGCGUAGGGUAUCUCUUGGGGUAAAGCUUAGGGUUCACUUCACGCCAAACCACAACGUGAGGGGAAACUCAGCCAACGCCAAGGAACGACUAUGUUUUCAAAAUAAAAACAUGAUUUAUGCUUACAUAACUUUUUAAUAGCCUUAGCAGACUCGGUUGGGAUAGCCCUAGGCCAAGGUAUCCCUGACAACAGAGUAUGAGAAUGAUUUUGGCACGAGCUAAAGUUUUAAGAAAGUCAUAAGCCAUAUUGUUUAUUUUGGCAAAAAUGUAAUGGUUUUAUAUGAGUUGAAAUAAGUUUUAAUAUUAUGAAUUAUAUUUCUUUGCAUGGUGAAAAUAGAAUUAAACAGUUUUUCCCAGCUCCCCUAUUUGUU